CUUUACUGUAACCUGGAAUUGGGUUCGGGCUUUGCUUGCGCAGGAUAGGUGGGAGACGUUGAAGCGGUUCUUGUGGGAACUGUGGAGUCAACGGUGAGAUACCACUCUGGUGAGGCUAGAAUUCUAACCUUAGCCCCUCAACGGGGGUGAGGGACCGUUUCAGGCGGGCAGUUUGACUGGGGCGGUCGCCUCCUAAAAGGUAACGGAGGCGCGCAAUGGUGCUCUCAGGCUGGUUGGAAAUCAGCCGUAGAGUGUAAAGGCAUAAGAGCGCUUGACUGCGAGACAAACACGUCGAGCAGGGUGGAAACACGGCCUUAGUGAUCCGACGGCGCUGAGUGGAAGGGCCGUCGCUAAACGGAUAAAAGUUA
rnacentral:rRNA from 1 species